rnacentral:rRNA from 1 species
GAUGAACGCUAGCGACAGGCCUAACACAUGCAAGUCGAGGGGCAGCACAUGAGUAGCAAUACUUUGGUGGCGACCGGCGCACGGGUGAGUAACACGUAUGCAACCUGCCUGUAAGAGGGGAAUAACCCGGAGAAAUUCGGACUAAUACCGCAUAAUACCACGAAUUCGCAUGGAUAUGUGUUUAAACAUUUAUGGCUUACAGAUGGGCAUGCGUAUGAUUAGCUAGUAGGUGAGGUAACGGCUCACCUAGGCAACGAUCAUUAGGGGUUCUGAGAGGAAGGUCCCCCACACUGGUACUGAGACACGGACCAGACUCCUACGGGAGGCAGCAGUGAGGAAUAUUGGUCAAUGGGCGAGAGCCUGAACCAGCCAAGUCGCGUGAAGGAAGAAGGUUCUAUGGAUUGUAAACUUCUUUUGUAAGGGAAUAAAAAGAGUUACGUGUAACUUAUUGUAUGUACUUUACGGAUAAGGAUCGGCUAACUCCGUGCCAGCAGCCGCGGUAAUAC